GACGAACGCUGGCGGCGUGCCUAAUACAUGCAAGUAGAACGCUGAAGGAGGAGCUUGCUUCUCUGGAUGAGUUGCGAACGGGUGAGUAACGCGUAGGUAACCUGCCUGGUAGCGGGGGAUAACUAUUGGAAACGAUAGCUAAUACCGCAUAAUAGUAGAUGUUUCAUGACAUUUGCUUAAAAGGUGCAAUUGCAUCACUACCAGAUGGACCUGCGUUGUAUUAGCUAGUUGGUGGGGUAACGGCUCACCAAGGCGACGAUACAUAGCCGACCUGAGAGGGUGAUCGGCCACACUGGGACUGAGACACGGCCCAGACUCCUACGGGAGGCAGCAGUAGGGAAUCUUCGGCAAUGGACGGAAGUCUGACCGAGCAACGCCGCGUGAGUGAAGAAGGUUUUCGGAUCGUAAAGCUCUGUUGUAAGAGAAGAACGAGUGUGAGAGUGGAAAGUUCACACUGUGACGGUAUCUUACCAGAAAGGGACGGCUAACUACGUG
rnacentral:rRNA from 1 species